rnacentral:rRNA from 1 species
UACGUAGGGGGCAAGCGUUGUCCGGAAUUAUUGGGCGUAAAGAGCGCGUAGGCGGUCCGAUAAGUCGGCUGGGAAAGUCAGGGGCUCAACCCUUGAAAGCCGGCCGAUACUGUCGGACUAGAGUCCGGAAGAGGCAAGUGGAAUUCCCGGUGUAGCGGUGAAAUGCGCAGAUAUCGGGAGGAACACCAAUGGCGAAGGCAGCUUGCUGGGACGGUACUGACGCUGAGGCGCGAAAGCGUGGGGAGCAAACAGG